ACUGACACACAGACUUAAAAGAUCUACAAAGAAGACGCUACAGGCUCGGCCGUGGCACUCCAUGACAGCGACCACGUGACAUGAGUCUCUAGCACGACUGACAUACUGACUAAGGGGCCAGUCACACCAAAAGCGUUUAUGGCAGUUGCAGGCGCCUUUUUUGAAUGAUAUUCUAUGGGCAGGGCGCGUUUGUGCGCUGUUUAUGCGCCCCGAGCGCCUUGCGGUUUUUUGCCGCCUGCCGCGCACGCGUUUUUGAAGGAGCGCUGAGAGCGGAGAAGCGCCCGACGUCAUUCGUGUCUUUCCAUUGUCCAAUCGAAUGAGGGGAGAGGCGGGCCUUACGUUGUGGUGAGGGAAGUUUACAGUUGCUUUGAAGAACCGGACACCACUCGCUCACUCUCUCCUGUGUGUUUGUGCACCUCUCACCCUCAAACAAGGUCAGAGCAAGCGUCCUCUUUUUAAAGUUUCUGCUGAUAUGACAGUUAACAGCAAAAGAGCGCUCACGCUUCAAUAUUUGAUUGACAAGACAGCUGACUCGGUGGUUGCUUAGCAAUAUAUUCAUGUAGACUAAAAAGAUCUACAAAGAAGACGCUACAGGCUCGGCCGUGGUACUCCAUGACGGCGACCACGGUGUCUUGUGUCUCUAGCACGACUGACAUACUGACUAAAAAGAUCUACAAAGAAGACGCUAUACAAGCUCGGCCGUGGUACUCCAUGACGGCGACCACGGUGACUUGAGUUUCUAGCACGGCUGACAUACUGACUAAAAAGAUCCGCAAAAUAGACGCUACAGGAUCGACAGUGGGUGACCACAGCUGUUGGAGCCUAUGGUGCAACAAUAAUGAACAAAACCCAAUCACUUGUUUCUAGUGGCUUGCAAGACAUUACCAGAGCUAGCUGGUGUGGCCGCAGCACAGAGUCACCAGAGGAGGAAGAAGAUAAGAUAGAUUACAUUAGUUUAUGUUUUAUUUAUUUAUGUUGCAUUAGUAUAAACUGUAAUGUUGUACAUGUUUAUUUGUUUUCAGCUCUUGGAGUCAAACCCAGUGUACUGGCUGUGGACAAAAUGGGCUUCUGAAGGGGAAUCACCGCUAACAUGAUGUCAGAUGAAGAAGACAAUGCCAAUGAUGGAGUGUCGGGUUGUGAGACCUUUAUCAUCUUCAGCUGCGACUGUGUGUGUUCGAGCUAUGCAGCGUUGAAUUGCUGUCUAACAGAAUGCCACCGCUUACCUACGACCCGAGACAGCAAAAUAAACACAUUUGAUGCCAAAUGUGAUCCCAAGAACAUAAUCUCUGGCUAUUUUUUACUUUUUGUGUGUUUUAUUUUUCCUAUACUUAAUUAAUAAAACUCUUACAUUUUAUCAACA